UUGAAAUAACAAUGCAAGUUGCAUUUUGUAGAUCUUAUCCCUUAAUUCACAUUUCUUACUGAAAAUUACAGGAUAAUUACUUGGAAGGUUUUGGCUUAUAUGCAAGUGUUUUUGGCCAUGCAUAUAUGUCCCUUGCCAAGUUUUGCACGCUGUAGCAGAUAAUCAAGAGGGUCAAAUUUAUAGAUGCUAGCUGAACUACUGCGUUCAAUCGUCAAUGAGUUAUGUUUUACGUACUUAUUAUCCAAUUGCUCUAAGAAAGUGAGGACCAUAAGCGGUAUGUGGUGGACAAGCCUUUGCCAGAUUUUGCCUGAUUGUCAUCUUAUUAUCAAUCCCUAACUGUCACAUAUAGUAUAUAGUUAUCUCCCCCUCCACAUAAAGAAGAGAGAGCACUGUCUGCUUUUGCCUCCAGGGUCGAUCUGUUGAACACAGAAUAUGGCUAUUAGGAUAGACAGGAUCGUGUUCUUGAUCAUUGCUGUGGCUUUACUAGAGGGAGCAACCUCAGAAACAAAAUACAAAGUUGGAGAUGAUUAUGAUUGAAGAGUUCCUCAUAAUAAAUCUUACUAUGAGAACUGGGUUGGUGGUAAGAAAUUUGAGGUUGGAGAUUCAUUAGAAUUCAUCUGGUCGAUAGUCCCACAUAAUGUCUUGGAGGUAACCACAAAGACCGAGUACGAUUCCUGUGUUAAAACAAAUGGAACACCUGAAGACACCAGUCCUGCAACCUUUGAUUUAACAAAAAAUGGAACAUAUUACUAUAUUUGCACCAUUGGAUCACACUGUGAUUCGGGUCAGAAGGUUACCAUUGUUGUUGGAAAUGGAAGCUCAAGCUCUCCUCCAAUAUCUAUGCCAAAUAAUCAUGCUGCCUUAUCUGCAGUUCUAUCCACCAUUACCAUUGUUGCUGCCAGUCUAGUUCAUCUUUGUUCUUUCUUGUUGUACUAACAAUAUUGGUGGUUGGUGUCUAGUUUAAUUAUCCAUCUUAAUUAGUCUUUUCCGUUAUGUUUACUGAAUUUGGAUUUAUAGCUAGAAUAAGUGCAAGGUUUGUACUAUUUAUUAGCUAUCCAGUUUCAGAGCAUUUUCAUUGUAUGAGGCAUGUUUCGAAGUAGUGUAAUAACUUAUUUUGUAAAAUUAUAUUAAUAUUAAUAAGACGUGUUGUAAUAUUUUUUU